UACGUAGGCAGCAAGCGUUGUUCGGAAUUACUGGGCGUAAAGAGUGUGUAGGCGGUGCUCCAAGUCUGGUGUGAAAUCUCCCGGCUUAGCUGGGAGGGUGCAUUAGAAACUGGAAUGCUAGAGGAUGGGAGAGGUAAGCGGAAUUCCUGGUGUAGCGGUGAAAUGCGUAGAUAUCAGGAGGAACACCUGUGGUGUAGACAGCUUACUGGACCAUUUCUGACGCUGAGACACGAAAGCGUGGGUAGCAAACAGG
rnacentral:rRNA from 1 species